GAUGAACGCUAGCGGCAGGCUUAAUACAUGCAAGUCGAGGGGGCAGCAAUGUCACCAGCGAACGGGUGCGUAACGCGUAUGCAACCUACCUACAUCAGGGGGAUAGCCCUAGGAAACUGGGAUUAACACCGCAUAACAUAUGACAAGGCAUCUUGUUAUAUUGAAAUAUUUAUAGGAUGUAGAUGGGCAUACGUAGGAUUAGCUAGUUGGUAAGGUAACGGCUUACCAAGGCUACGAUCCUUAGGGGCUCUGAGAGGAGUAUCCCCCACACUGGCACUGAGAUACGGGCCAGACUCCUACGGGAGGCAGCAGUAGGGAAUAUUGGGCAAUGGAGGCAACUCUGACCCAGCCAUGCCGCGUGCAGGAAGACGGUCCUCUGGAUUGUAAACUGCUUUUGAAUGGGAAGAAUGUGUGGCUUGCGAGCUAUAAUGACGGUACCAUUAGAAUAAGCCACGGCUAACUACGUGCCAGCAGCCGCAGUAA
rnacentral:rRNA from 1 species